AUGAGAAGACUGAGACCUGGAGUAGAGAUGAAGUAACUUAACUGUGUAAAUCAGGGGCAGGCAAGCAUCUUCUGUCAAGGAGCAGAGAGCAGUUCUCUUGGAAUUAACUGGAUUCACUCAGCAUGGUGUGAGCAUGCGUGUGUGAGUGUGUGCUGAGACAGACUUCAUGAACUCAUAGCACCCCAUGAAAGAUCACCUGUGUGAGGGCAUCAGAUGCAGCAUAUCCACAGAAUUAAUACGGAAUUUUCUUAUUAUCGUAAUUAUUAUUCAGAUAUUUUUGAAGAAACACAGUGAUGACCCAGGCCUGAGGACCUCAACUAGUAUUUUGUUGUUCUUACAUGUCACCAGGAGACUCACGCAAGCAAUCUCACAAAAAGCAAUUCAUGACAAUGGAAACCACCACCAGUUACUGAGAAAGGAUCUCUUGGGUUUUAAAAGAUCGUUUCAAUCUUUGAAGUAUUUCCUUUGUGAGGCCAGUUUGGUGUCCCUUGAAGGACUUUUUAUAAAACAUGAGACUCCCUCCACAUUAGGCAUCUGAAAUCCAACCUUUUUUUUUUUUUAAGUUGCAAAAGACAUUUUUUUGCAGACCAUCUGUUAUUUAGUAACGUGCAAAUUACCAAUAAAUAAUUCCAGAUUCCUUUUUUUGCAAGCAUAGCUAUAAACAAACUGAUCCACAUGCAGAAAUGGAAGUCAUUUUCUCUUUGAAAAUUCAUUAACUUCUGCACGAUUGGAAGAGAUCGGGAGAGAAGCUUCCUGGCAGAUGCUGAUGAGUGUUAUUACUGUACACAAAUAACAACAUGAGGCCAAACAUGGACAUUCUUUGGGAAUCUUCCUCUUGCUUAGCAUUCACUUGAGUGGUCUCACCAUAUGGGGUUUGUAUGUGUGACUAUAAAACCCUUUAAGAUGGAUUUAUGUGUAAUAAUCUCAUUUGUUCUUUUAGCUGGUUAAAACAUUAGCAAACUAUGAUUCUUCUCCUGUGAAACAAUAGAGAAUCACAAUAAAAAUUGCAUUUGACUUU
rnacentral:lncRNA from 1 species